UGGGGAAUUUUGGACAAUGGGCGAAAGCCUGAUCCAGCAAUGCCGCGUGUGUGAAGAAGGCCUUCGGGUUGUAAAGCACUUUUGUCCGGAAAGAAAUCCUUGGCUCUAAUACAGUCGGGGGAUGACGGUACCGGAAGAAUAAGCACCGGCUAACUACGUGCCAGCAGCCGCGGUAAUACGUAGGGUGCAAGCGUUAAUCGGAAUUACUGGGCGUAAAGCGUGCGCAGGCGGUUUGCUAAGACCGAUGUGAAAUCCCCGGGCUCAACCUGGGAACUGCAUUGGUGACUGGCAGGCUAGAGUAUGGCAGAGGGGGGUAGAAUUCCACGUGUAGCAGUGAAAUGCGUAGAGAUGUGGAGGAAUACCGAUGGCGAAGGCAGCCCCCUGGGCCAAUACUGACGCUCAUGCACGAAAGCGUGGGGAGCAAACAGGAUUAGAUACCCUGGUAGUCCACGCCCUAAACGAUGUCAACUAGUUGUUGGGGAUUCAUUUCCUUAGUAACGUAGCUAACGCGUGAAGUUGACCGCCUGGGGAGCACGGUCGCAAGAUUAAAACUCAAAGGAAUUGACGGGGUCAUAGCUGUUUCCU
rnacentral:rRNA from 1 species